rnacentral:rRNA from 1 species
AACGAACGCUGGCGGCAUGCCUAACACAUGCAAGUCGAACGAGACCUUCGGGUGUAGUGGCGCACGGGUGCGUAACGCGGGGGAACCUGCCCUUAGGUUCGGAAUAACUCCCCGAAGGGGGUGCUAAUACCGGGUAAUGUCUUCGGACCAAAGAUUUAUCGACUUUGGAUGGGCCCGCGUUGGAUUAGCUAGUUGGUAGGGUAAAAGCCUACCAAGGCGACGAUACAUAGCUGGUCUGAGAGGAUGAUCAGCCACACUGGGAGUGAGACACGGCCCAGACUCCUACGGGAGGCAGCAGUGGGGAAUAUUGGACAACGGGCGAAAGCCUGAUCCAGCAAUGCCGCGUGAGUGAUGAAGGCCUUAGGGUUGUAAAGCUCUUUUAUCCGGGAUGAUAAUGACAGUACCGGGAGAAUAAGCUCCGGCUAACUCCGUG